UUGCCAGCGUUUGGGGUCACAGGAUCUAUACCAUUUACAGCAUCUUGUUUAUUGUCUUCAUUAUUCUUGUGAUUGUCACUGCCUUCAUAACCGUGGCUUUGACCUACUUCCAACUUGCUGCUGAAGAUCAUGAAUGGUGGUGGAGGUACGAGUUUCCAUGUCUUGUUUUCAUCCCUUAUUGUUGACUUUUUGAAUCAUGAUUAAUAUGUUCAAAGUUAUAGCAAUCACAUUAUUGUAUGUAGUACUUGUAGAUCUGGCCUGCUGCUCAUUACUAAAGAAAAUCUUGUCCCUUUGUAUGCGUGUUGCUUGUUAUAGUUCAAUCUGGAAAUGCUAAUGCAAGUUGUGUAUUAGAAGUUAGUGCCAUGAACUUCUUGGUUUAACAUGGUUACUUUUAAGUAAUGGAUCUUUUCAUAUAUCAAAAUUGCUGAAGUAAGAUAGAGAUUCAUGUAAUCAACUGGGAUAAAAUAUGAGUGAGAUAACAAUGUUCUUAAGCAAUUUCAUUGUGUUGGUUUAAUAUCCGGCAAUAGAACACUUUUGGGUUGCUUUUGAAUGUCGAAUUUGAGAUGCAAGAAUUUGUAGUCUUUUCAUAGUUCAUCCUAUUGAACUUGGAUUCGCUUCAACCAGUACUUGAAGUCUAUAUUUGGAAUUAUGCCCUUUUAUUGGUAUUAAAGAUUAACCAUAAAAUCCUUUCAUCAUGACUGUAGUACAACUGAAGACAAUCUAUGAAUUCUGAAACUUAUUCGAGUUAGAUAUUCCAAAUAUCUAAUAUGAAUCCCUUAAGAUAAACUCAGUACAAUUCAGAGAAAAUGAAGUUCAGCUCCAUGUUUCUAUUUUUGGAUUGUACAUGCUAGGGCAGUAAUUUUUGCUGCUAUGCUGCAUCAGUGAAUGGAAGAGCAUCUUAUUUAGGGAGCUAGAACUGAAGUGCUGUGCAGCAGAUGAGAAGAAUGGCUGAAACAUUUAAGGGUGAUGUAGAACUCCAAUUUUAGAAGAGAAGUUCUAGGUUAGUUGAAUGGUGGUAAGGUGCAAUGGUAUCCUUAAGGAGUCCUUGAGAAGAAAAUCAGUAGUGAAUUUAUGGAUUAUAUGAACAAAGCAAAAACAUAAAGAUCUUCACAAAGAAAAUUGAAUUAGAAAGAAUACUUUCAUUUCUCUAAAGAUUACAACACAUAGAUGAAGAACUAACUAGUUAUAUAACUGCUAUUCUAGCUGUUACUAUUGCUAACUAACCCUGCAAAUUAGAAGGCUACACUACUAAUCAGUUCUAACUGAUUAGUAGAGUUACAUCAGCUAAUUAACUCUGCCAAUCAGACUACAUGUGGCAGCAGUUCUAACUGCCUAGCUGAAUUGAAGAAUAAAUAUAUGUAGAAUAUUUCAUAGUAUUAAGUCCAAAAUGAGUCAAAUGUUCCAUGUCAUUGGGGUAAUUAGAUUAUGUAAUGAUUGCAGUCAGCUAAUUGAAUGAUGCCUAUUAAUUUUGCAAAGUGACAAAUGGAAAUAUAUGCACCCGGAAAAGUUCACAUGAUUAGUUGUCUGCUAGAAGAGUUAUUGGGACAGAAGCUUUUAUACUGACUCUGAGUCUCCUGGAGGUUCAUAUGUAAAAUGUGAUCAUGAACCUUGUUGUUGACUAAUGUCUUCCUCUAAAAUUGGUUUACUAGUCAAUCUUUUUGCUCUCUUGCAUGCCAGUAGUAUAGGUAUCAUUACCUUAGGCUACUUUUCAAAACUCAGUUCACUAUUUAGACAAUCACGUUCUUGGUAAUUGCUGUAUGCUUCAGGUAGAUGAAUCAUCAGGAAUCAUCGUUGCUUAUUUUUUUCUCAACUAUGAGUUAUUAUACAUAAUUAUGAGCUAACUAUUUUCAUAGUUUAAGCAAGUUAGUGAGACUUGGUAUGAUCGGAUGUGAUAUCCUAGGCGUGCAACUAUUGUGAACUAAAUUACAUUUUGAUUGUGACAGGUCUUUUCUCUGUGGGGGAUCAACUGGGCUGUUCAUCUAUGCCUACUGCUUGUAUUAUUACCAUGCUCGAUCUGAAAUGUCUGGCUUCAUGCAAACAUCUUUCUUCUUUGGGUACAUGGCCUGUAUAUGCUACGGCUUCUUUCUAAUGCUUGGAACAGUGGGUUUCCGUGCAUCGCUGUUCUUUGUUCGCCACAUAUACAAGUCGAUUAAAUGCGAGUAGCGGGGCAGUACUUCCUCUUCAGUUUACAUGCAUUCUGUCAAAGAGAAAUGUACGAUUUUGUUAAGAGCUGAGGGCCGAGACUGCUUAAUUACUAGAAACAAAAGAUGCGAACUUUGAGAGACCUUAGCAAUGCCUGACCUGAGCUACUAAGUUUACAGAAACCCUGGGGCAUAUUGACCUGAAGUACCUGACAUGUAGAAGAUUGAAAUGCUUUGUUUUGUAUUAUUACGUAUACCCUCUUUUUUCUUUUUUAGUUUGUAGAAGCAACAUCUCCCCUCAUUCUAUGUACUUUCAGAAUCAACUUUAUAGAAUCAAAUCUAUGUGUCAGGUUUUACCUAUUGUUGUAAGAAACAAAUUCAUUUUGUUAGAACCCUUAUUUCCACAUUGAAGUCAAAAGGUGGAUUUGUUGUUGGUAAAGGCUGAUCAUUAUUAUCAAAAGUAGGUUGCAAAUAGGAAUCUUCUUUCUAUUUUUAUAUUUAACUGGUUUUCAUUGACUAAGGCAAUGUAACGUCAGAAUCAGAUAGAAUUUCUACUUCUACACUUGGAGAAGGAGGAGGAUAGGAUUAAUCUAUUGUUGACAUUUGCAGAUGGAUCAGACAUUUACUAAAUUCAAACCCUUUCUAUUAUCCUGAUUUUAGUUAUAGUUUUUGCGAAUUUAAAAAUUAAAUUAAUACCCAAAAAAGUUUCUAUUUGUAAGUAGCAUUAAGAAAAAACGAAAGGAAAGUUGCAACUAUUUCCUUUUAUCUUUCUUCCAUUUGUCUUCACAUUCUGUUGCCGUUUGUUUUAUAUCUUUUUUCUCUUUCGUUAAUCCAAUCAUUAUUACAUACAAUAAAAACAAAUUCCUUGUUUGCUCAGAAAACUAUAUCAAUCUUUCUUUGUUUCUCAUCCAAUUUUCGCUUCAGAAGUAAAAAACACCAGAGAAAGAAAAUGAAUGAUAAUAAUCCUUUUAUAAUUCUGGUUGUGUCAGUUUUAAUAAUCGCAUGUUCUGUCACUCACGUGAGAUCAGAUGCCUCCGAUCAUCGCUAUAAAGACGGCGAUCCUGUUCCUCUCUACGCCAACAAAGUGGGCCCCUUCCACAAUCCCAGGUGAAAUGUAUUUUAAAAAAAAAUUACUUUUUAUCCGAGAUCUGUAUUUCCUAUCUCGCAAUUCCCAAUUUCAAUAGCAAAUUAGUAAUAGUUGUUUAAGUUUGUUUGUCGAUUAUCUAAAUUUGUAUUUGUUGUAUGAAUUUGCAGUGAAACAUAUCGCUAUUUUGAUCUCCCAUUUUGCGUUCCAGGUUCUUAUUUAUUUAAUAGUUACACUCUAUUUGAAUAUGAAUGUUUACUUUCUAAUUUUGAUGGGUUGAAUAUGAAAAUCAUUAAUGAUUAGAUCACCUGAAAGAGAAAACAGAAGCACUCGGUGAGGUUUUAAAUGGAGACCGUUUAGUAAGUGCUCCUUACAAGCUCAAUUUUCGAGAUGAGAAGGACACGGCGGUUGUCUGUCGGAAAAAACUUACAAAGGAGGAGGUUGGUCGAUUUCGAUCUGCAGUUGACAAAGAUUAUUACUUCCAAAUGUACUAUGACGACCUGCCUGUUUGGGGCUUCAUUGGCAAGAUUGAUAAGCAAGAUAAUAAGUACUUCCUUUACAAGCACAUUCAAUUCGAUGUUCUCUAUAAUAAGGACCGUGUGAUUGAAGUGAAUACUAGGAUGGAUCCUCAGUCAUUGUUGGAUUUGACUGAGGACAAAAAUGUUGAUGCGGAGUUUCUUUAUACUGUAAAAUGGAAGGAAACAGAUAUUCCUUUCGAGAAGAGAAUGGAUAAGUAUUCUUUCUCUUCUUCACUUCCUCAUCACUUGGAAAUUCAUUGGUUCUCUAUUAUUAACUCUUGUGUCACAGUUCUCCUUUUGACUGGCUUUCUUGCCACAAUUCUCAUGCGGGUAUUGAAGAAUGACUUCAUGAAGUAAGAUUAACUUUUUCUUUUUGUAGAAUUUUUUUUGUGCUCGUUGAAUGUCCAAUGUGGUGGCUAUACAUCAGAGUUAGUCAGUUCCUUAUAUAUUUAUUUCACUACAAAGGAGUGUUAAAUUCUCACCAGUAUUGUUGGUUGGUGAAUGAAAAGGCCCGAACUUGAGACCUCUCCAAUUCUCAUUAGUGAGAAUACCAACCAAGUUGCUUCCUAAUUGGUUUUUCAUUUUUGUUAAAAAAGUUUUAUAUGUAAGAAAGCAUUACUUCUGAUACAAUGUGUAUUUCAUCAAGGUAUGCACAAGAUGAGGAAGCAGCUGAUGACCAGGAGGAGACUGGAUGGAAGUACAUCCAUGGUGAUGUUUUUAGAUACCCAAAGUACAAAUCUUUAUUUGCUGCUGCCCUUGGAUCUGGAACCCAGUUAUUUGCACUGUAAGGAACCCCAUUACAAAUUAUAUACUUAUUGGGUUAGAUUGAUUAGCUUCCAUCAUCUAAUCUUUUAUGUGCUUCCAGAACUGUUUUUAUUUUUAUGCUUGCCCUGGUCGGUGUAUUUUAUCCAUACAAUCGAGGUGCUCUAUUUACUGCGCUGGUGGUCAUAUAUGCACUUACUUCUGGAAUUGCUGGAUAUACUGCAACCUCUUUCUAUUAUCAGCUUGAAGGAACGAACUGGGUGUGUGCUUAUCUGGCUUCCAUUUGCAUUACAUUUACCUUUGUAUAUGAUAUUUUCCAAUUGCAAUGUUCUUUUGAAGUGAACUAAGUUUCAAAAUUUUGGGUUGACAGGUGAGGAAUCUUUUGCUGACAGGAUGCCUUUUCUGUGGACCUCUGUUCCUCACGUUUUGCUUCCUGAACACUGUUGCCAUUAUUUACAGUGCAACUGCAGCAUUACCAUUUGGAACUAUUUUGGUGAUACUCCUUAUAUGGACUUUAGUGACUUCUCCAUUACUUGUAUUGGGUGGUAUUGCUGGGAAAAACAGCAAGGCUGAAUUUCAAGCACCUUGUCGUACCACAAAAUAUCCUCGAGAGGUCCCACAGUUGCCAUGGUACAGGAGUGCUCUUCCUCAGAUGGGAAUGGCGGGUUUCUUGCCUUUUAGUGCUAUCUAUAUUGAGCUCUACUACAUAUUUGCCAGUGUCUGGGGCCACAGAAUCUACACCAUUUACAGCAUCUUGUUCAUUGUCUUCAUUAUUCUUCUGAUUGUUACAGCUUUUAUAACUGUGGCUUUGACAUACUUCCAACUUGCUGCUGAAGACCACGAAUGGUGGUGGAGGUACAUAAGUUUUUGCAUUCUGUUUUGUCCCAUUCAUUAUUGGUUUUCUGUUUGGUU
rnacentral:lncRNA from 1 species